AUUGAACGCUGGCGGCAUGCCUUACACAUGCAAGUCGAACGGCAGCACGAGUGCUUGCACCUGGUGGCGAGUGGCGCAGGGGGGAGUGAUACAUCGGGACAAGUCCUGUAGAGGGGGAGAGCACGGCCAAAGCAGGGUUACUACCGCAUACGAACUACGGAUAAAAGAGGGGUAAAUUGGGGCAUACGGCCUUAGUGUCGGUCGUAGGUGGAUCGGCGAUGGAUUAGCUAGAUGGUCUGGUAAAGGCCUACCAAGGCAACGAUGAGUAGCUGAUCUGAGAGGGCGACCAGCCACACUGGGACUGAGACACGGCCCAGACUCCUACGGGAGGCAGCAGUGGGGAAUUUUGGACAAUGGGCGAAAGCCUGAUCGAGCAAUGCCGCGUGUGUGAAGAAGGCCUUCGGGUUGUAAAGCACUUUUGUCCGGAAAGAAAUCCUUGGCCAUAAUCCGGUCGCGGGAUGACGGUACCGGAAGAAAAAGCCCCGGCUAACUACGUG
rnacentral:rRNA from 1 species